GAAUUUGAAGAAGAUUUGAAGAUAUUAAGCUAGCAACUUCCAAAUUCAAGUUCUAGGUGGUUAUCCGAGGUCUAUCACCUAUGCUAGCCCACUGUGAGCAAAUGGAGCGCCAAGUCUAGAGCAACCUCGGGAAUCCACCUUUUGUGAAGCUACUUUGAAGUGCCUCCGUGAUGGGGCGAACUUGAACUCAAUGUGUUGACCCUUUGUUUUCUUUUCUUUUGUUGCUUGGAAACUUGCUAUGUAUGGAAAUUUGUAUAAGUGUCUAAUGAUGUUGUGAUGUAUCUAUGUAUUUAUAUCUAUGUAAGAAGGAUGAAGUUUUAAAUACUUGUGAAAUUUGCAUGUA